GUGGGGAAUUUUCCGCAAUGGGCGAAAGCCUGACGGAGCAAUGCCGCGUGGAGGUGGAAGGCCUACGGGUCGGUCAACUUCUUUUCUCGGAGAAGAAACAAUGACGGUAUCUGAGGAAUAAGCAUCGGCUAACUCUGUGCCAG
rnacentral:rRNA from 1 species